ACGGAAGGCAGCAGUGGGGGAUAUUGCACAAUGGGGGAAACCCUGAUGCAGCGACGCCGCGUGAGUGAUGAAGUAUUUCGGUAUGUAAAGCUCUAUCAGCAGGGAAGAAAAUGACGGUACCUGACUAAGAAGCCCCGGCUAACUACGUGCCAGCAGCCGCGGUAAUACGUAGGGGGCAAGCGUUAUCCGGAUUUACUGGGUGUAAAGGGAGCGUAGGUGGUAUGGUAAGUCAGAAGUGAAAACCCAGGGCUCAACUUUGGGAUUGCUUUUGAAACUAUCAAACUAGAGUGCAGGAGGGGUAAGCGGAAUUCCUAGUGUAGCGGUGAAAUGCGUAGAUAUUAGGAAGAACACCGGCGGCGAAGGCGGCUUACUGGACUGUAACUGACACUGAGGCUCGAAAGCGUGGGGAGCAAACAGGAUUAGAUACCCUGGUA
rnacentral:rRNA from 1 species